GUGACACUGUUCAACGGCCGCGGUAUCCUAACCGUGCGAAGGUAGCGUAAUCACUUGUUCUUUAAUUGAGGACUAGUAUGAACGGCCCCACGAGGACUACACUGUCUCCUUUUUCUAAUCAAUGAAACUGAUCUCCUCGUGAAGAAGCGAGGAUAAAUAUAUAAGACGAGAAGACCCUAUGGAGCUUUAAACAGCCGGGAUACUUGCUAAUUUAUAAUAUAUCUUCUGAAAACUAAACAAAUUAAAGCAUCUUACCCCCAAGUUUUAGGUUGGGGUGACCACGGAGAAAAAAUUAACCUCCAUGUUGUAAGAAGUCUACCAUCUUCUAAGCUUAGAGUUACAUCUCCAAGCAUCAACACAUUGACUCUCAUUGACCCA
rnacentral:rRNA from 1 species